GUCAAGUACAAAGAGCAUCGGGUGGAUGCCUUGGCACUGGGAGCCGAAGAAGGACGUGAUAAGCUGCGAUAAGCUGCGGUAAGGAGCACAUAUCCGAUAUACCCGCAGAUUUCCGAAUGGGGGAACCCACAUACGGUAAUGCGUAUGUAUCAUUAAGUGAAUACAUAGCUUAAUGAAGGGAACGGGGUGAACUGAAACAUCUAAGUAGCCCUAGGAAGAGAAAGAAAAAUCGAUUUCCUGAGUAGCGGCGAGCGAAAGGGAAAGAGGCCAAACCAAAUUGUUUACAGUUUGGGGUUGUGGACCACCGACAUUGACGAAGUUAUGCGAGCCGAAUAGGGUUGGAAAGCUCAAGCAGAGAAGGUAAUACUCCUGUAGGCGAAGCAGAAAGCGCAUAGGUGGCACCAGAGUAGGACCGGACACGUGUAACCCGGUCUGAAGCAGGAGGGACCACCCUCCAAGCCUAAAUACUACCCAGUGACCGAUAGCGAAUAGUACCGUGAGGGAAAGGUGAAAAGAACCCCGGGAGGGGAGUGAAAUAGAAUCUGAAACCUGAUGCUUACAAGCAUAGGGAGCGCAAGUGACCUAGUACUUUUUGUAGAACGGGCCAACGAGUUAUGGUAUGUAGCGAGGUUAAGUUGCUGGAGCAACGGAGCCGUAGAGAAAUCGAGUCUGAAUAGGGCGAGAGUUACAUGCUGUAGACCCGAAACCGGGUGACCUAUCCAUGAGCAGGUUGAAGUAACCGUAAAAGGUUAUGGAGGACCGAACCUAUAUCUGUUGAAAAAGGUUAGGAUGACUUGUGGAUAGCGGUGAAAUUCCAAUCGAACUCGGAUAUAGCUGGUUCUCCUCGAAAUAGCUUUAGGGCUAGCCUCAAGGUAAAGAUACACGGGGGUAGAGCACUGACUGUUCGCGGGGCCUUCACCGGUUACCAACAACUAUCAAACUCCGAAUACCGUGCUAUCAUACUUGGGAGUCAGACUAUGAGAGAUAAGUUCCAUGGUCGAAAGGGAAACAGCCCAGAUCAACAGCUAAGGUCCCAAAGAGUAAGUUAAGUGGAAAAGGAUGUGGGAUUGCACAAACAGCUAGGAUGUUGGCUUAGAAGCAGCCAUACAUUUAAAGAGUGCGUAAUAGCUCACUAGUCGAGUGAUCCUGCGCCGAAGAUAAACGGGGCUCAAACUUACCACCGAAGCUUUGGAAUUAGUACAACUAAUUGGUAGAGGAGCAUUCUAUACAGGUAGAAGGAGGCGCGUAAGCAAAUCUGGACGGUAUAGAAGAGAGAAUGUUGGCAUGAGUAGCGUAAGGCGGGUGAGAAUCCCGUCCGCCGAAAAUCUAAGGUUUCCUGAGGAAGGUUCGUCCUCUCAGGGUAAGUCGGGACCUAAGCCGAGAGCGAACGCUGUAGGCGAUGGACAACAGGUUGAUAUUCCUGUACCACCAAGGAUUGUUUGAAUGAAGUGGGGACACAGAAGGAUAGAUUGAGCACGCCGUUGGUUGAGCGUGUCCAAGCAGCAAGGCUUGAAAGUAGGCAAAUCCGCUUUCUACAAGGCUGAGCUGUGAUGGGGUGGUCGAAUGACCGGUAGCAAUCGAUUUCACGCUGUCAAGAAAAGCCGCUAAUGAGAUCCAAGGUGCCCGUACCGCAAACCGACACAGGUAGAUGAGGAGAGAAUCCUAAGGUGAGCGAGCGAACUAUUGUUAAGGAACUCGGCAAAAUAACCCCGUAACUUCGGGAGAAGGGGUGCCUGCUUCGGCAGGCCGCAGUGAAGAGGUCCAGGCAACUGUUUACCAAAAACACAGGUCUCUGCUAAAGCGAAAGCUGAUGUAUAGGGGCUGACGCCUGCCCGGUGCUGGAAGGUUAAGGGGAAGUGUUAGGGCAACCGAAGCACAGAACUUAAGCCCCAGUAAACGGCGGCCGUAACUAUAACGGUCCUAAGGUAGCGAAAUUCCUUGUCGGGU
rnacentral:rRNA from 1 species